UACAUUAUUAUAAAAUUUACAAAAUUUGUGAGUAUAAAAAUGCCUCCGUCUGAUAAUUUUCCGUUUUGGUUGUACCUCAUAUUGAUAUUAGUUUUAAUGAUUUUAUUGAAAUGGUCUUUAAAAAUCAUUUGUUUGUUUGAUGAUAGUUCGGCCCGUCAUUUUCACCAAUUACAAGAACACCACCAAAUAGCAGUUCAUUCGACGACAGUCACAUUUAAAGAAGUGUACGCAAACGUUUAAAAUUUAAUCCAAAAAAUACAUAAUUCAGAAAUGAACACAAUCGUCAUAGUCAGUUUAAUAGUUUUCAAACUAAUUGUUUGGCUUAUCGUUUUAAUAUGUAGUUCUGUAUCUAAAUACAGAAAGAGAAAGAACCAGACAGACAGACAAACAGACGAUUGUGAAGG